rnacentral:rRNA from 1 species
UACGUAGGUGGCGAGCGUUGUCCGGAUUUACUGGGCGUAAAGGAUGCGUAGGCGGAUAUUUAAGUGAGAUGUGAAAUACCCGAGCUUAACUUGGGUGCUGCAUUUCAAACUGGAUAUCUAGAGUGCGGGAGAGGAGAAUGGAAUUCCUAGUGUAGCGGUGAAAUGCGUAGAGAUUAGGAAGAACACCAGUGGCGAAGACGAUUCUCUGGACCGUAACUGACGCUGAGGCAUGAAAGCGUGGGUAGCAAACAGG